rnacentral:rRNA from 1 species
UACGGAGGGACCAAGCGUUGUUCGGAUUUACUGGGCGUAAAGGGCGCGUAGGCGGUGUUGUAAGUCACUUGUGAAAUCUCUGAGCUUAACUCAGAACGGCCAAGUGAUACUGCAGCACUAGAGUGCAGAAGGGGCAAUCGGAAUUCUUGGUGUAGCGGUGAAAUGCGUAGAUAUCAAGAGGAACACCUGAGGUGAAGACGGGUUGCUGGGCUGACACUGACGCUGAGGCGCGAAAGCUAGGGGAGCAAACGGG